UACGAAGGGGGCUAGCGUUGUUCGGAUUUACUGGGCGUAAAGCGCACGUAGGCGGAUGUGUCAGUCAGGGGUGAAAUCCCGGGGCUCAACCUCGGAACUGCCUCUGAUACAGCACAUCUUGAGUCCGGAAGAGGUGGGUGGAAUUCCUAGUGUAGAGGUGAAAUUCGUAGAUAUUAGGAAGAACACCGGUGGCGAAGGCGGCCCACUGGUCCGGUACUGACGCUGAGGUGCGAAAGCGUGGGGAGCAAACAGG
rnacentral:rRNA from 1 species